rnacentral:rRNA from 1 species
UCCUAAGGCUAAAUACUCUCUAGUGACCGAUAGUGAACCAGUACCGUGAGGGAAAGGUGAAAAGCACCCCGGAAGGGGAGUGAAAUAGAACCUGAAACCGUGUGCUUACAAGUAGUCAGAGCCCGUUAAUGGGUGAUGGCGUGCCUUUUGUAGAAUGAACCGGCGAGUUACGAUUUGAUGCAAGGUUAAGCAGUAAAUGUGGAGCCGUAGCGAAAGCGAGUCUGAAUAGGGCGUUUAGUAUUUGGUCGUAGACCCGAAACCAGGUGAUCUACCCUUGGUCAGGUUGAAGUUCAGGUAACACUGAAUGGAGGACCGAACCGACUUACGUUGAAAAGUGAGCGGAUGAACUGAGGGUAGCGGAGAAAUUCCAAUCGAACCUGGAGAUAGCUGGUUCUCUCCGAAAUAGCUUUAGGGCUAGCCUCAAGUGAUGAUUAUUGGAGGUAGAGCACUGUUUGGACGAGGGGCCCCUCUCGGGUUACCGAAUUCAGACAAACUCCGAAUGCCAAUUAAUUUAACUUGGGAGUCAGAACAUGGGUGAUAAGGUCCGUGUUCGAAAGGGAAACAGCCCAGACCACCAGCUAAGGUCCCAAAAUAUAUGUUAAGUGGAAAAGGAUGUGGCGUUGCCCAGACAACUAGGAUGUUGGCUUAGAAGCAGCCAUCAUUUAAAGAGUGCGUAAUAGCUCACUAGUCGAGUGACACUGCGCCGAAAAUGUACCGGGGCUAAACAUAUUACCGAAGCUGUGGAUUGUCCUUUGGACAAUGGUAGGAGAGCGUUCUAAGGGCGUUGAAGCAUGAUCGUAAGGACAUGUGGAGCGCUUAGAAGUGAGAAUGCCGGUGUGAGUAGCGAAAGACGGGUGAGAAUCCCGUCCACCGAUUGACUAAGGUUUCCAGAGGAAGGCUCGUCCGCUCUGGGUUAGUCGGGUCCUAAGCUGAGGCCGACAGGCGUAGGCGAUGGAUAACAGGUUGAUAUUCCUGUACCACCUAUAAUCGUUUUAAUCGAUGGGGGGACGCAGUAGGAUAGGCGAAGCGUGCGAUUGGAUUGCACGUCUAAGCAGUAAGGCUGAGUAUUAGGCAAAUCCGGUACUCGUUAAGGCUGAGCUGUGAUGGGGAGAAGACAUUGUGUCUUCGAGUCGUUGAUUUCACACUGCCGAGAAAAGCCUCUAGAUAGAAAAUAGGUGCCCGUACCGCAAACCGACACAGGUAGUCAAGAUGAGAAUUCUAAGGUGAGCGAGCGAACUCUCGUUAAGGAACUCGGCAAAAUGACCCCGUAACUUCGGGAGAAGGGGUGCUCUUUAGGGUUAACGCCCAGAAGAGCCGCAGUGAAUAGGCCCAAGCGACUGUUUAUCAAAAACACAGGUCUCUGCUAAACCGUAAGGUGAUGUAUAGGGGCUGACGCCUGCCCGGUGCUGGAAGGUUAAGAGGAGUGGUUAGCUUCUGCGAAGCUACGAAUCGAAGCCCCAGUAAACGGCGGCCGUAACUAUAACGGUCCUAAGGUAGCGAAAUUCCUUGUCGGGUAAGUUCCGACCCGCACGAAAGGCGUAACGAUUUGGGCACUGUCUCAACGAGAGACUCGGUGAAAUCAUAGUACCUGUGAAGAUGCAGGUUACCCGCGACAGGACGGAAAGACCCCGUGGAGCUUUACUGUAGCCUGAUAUUGAAAUUCGGCACAGCUUGUACAGGAUAGGUAGGAGCCUUUGAAACGUGAGCGCUAGCUUACGUGGAGGCGCUGGUGGGAUACUACCCUAGCUGUGUUGGCUUUCUAACCCGCACCACUUAUCGUGGUGGGAGACAGUGUCAGGCGGGCAGUUUGACUGGGGCGGUCGCCUCCUAAAAGGUAACGGAGGCGCUCAAAGGUUCCCUCAGAAUGGUUGGAAAUCAUUCAUAGAGUGUAAAGGCAUAAGGGAGCUUGACUGCGAGACCUACAAGUCGAGCAGGGUCGAAAGACGGACUUAGUGAUCCGGUGGUUCCGCAUGGAAGGGCCAUCGCUCAACGGAUAAAAGCUACCCCGGGGAUAACAGGCUUAUCUCCCCCAAGAGUUCACAUCGACGGGGAGGUUUGGCACCUCGAUGUCGGCUC